GAUGAACGCUAGCUACAGGCUUAACACAUGCAAGUCGAGGGGCAGCAUUUCUUUAGCAAUAAAGAAGAUGGCGACCGGCGCACGGGUGAGUAACACGUAUCCAAUCUGCCUUUUACUCGGGGAUAGCCUUUCGAAAGAAAGAUUAAUACUCGAUGGUAUAUGAUUACUGCAUGGUAAUUAUAUUAAAGAAUUUCGGUAAAAGAUGAGGAUGCGUUCCAUUAGAUAGUUGGUAGGGUAACGGCUCACCAAGUCUACGAUGGAUAGGGGUUCUGAGAGGCAGGUCCCCCACACUUGUACUGAGACACGGACCAGGCUCCUACGGGAGGCAGCAGUGAGGAAUAUUGGUCAAUGGACGCAAGUCUGAACCAGCCAUGCCGCGUGCAGGAAGACGGCUCUAUGAGUUGUAAACUGCUUUUGUACUAGGGUAAACCCUUCUACGUGUAGGAGGCUGAAAGUAUAGUACGAAUAAGGAUCGGCUAACUCCGUGCCAGCCGCCGCAGUAACAC
rnacentral:rRNA from 1 species